CCCUACGGGAGGCAGCAGUGAGGAAUAUUGGUCAAUGGUCGGGAGACUGAACCAGCCAAGCCGCGUGAGGGAUGAAGGUACAGAGUAUCGUAAACCUCUUUUGUCAGGGAACAAAGGCGGGGACGCGUCCCCGGAUGAGUGUACCUGAAGAAAAAGCAUCGGCUAACUCCGUGCCAGCAGCCGCGGUAAUACGGAGGAUGCGAGCGUUAUCCGGAUUUAUUGGGUUUAAAGGGUGCGCAGGCGGUCUGUUAAGUCAGAGGUCACAGCCCGGGGCUCAACCCCGGCCCGCCGUUGGAACUGGCAAU
rnacentral:rRNA from 1 species